rnacentral:lncRNA from 1 species
GUCUGUUGACAGCAACCUGCACAUCAUUCUGAGCAGGAAAGUGGGACCCAGCAUUGGUGUACUUUCCUUCAACAGAAACCCCAGGGACGUUUGACCCUUGUGAGACCCCAGCUUGAACUUGUUGCUCGGGAACAUCAGUUUUCUGAACUUGAAGUCUUCCAUUGCCCACACCAGCGGAUGGGGGAGGUGCCUCAGGCUGCUGAAACUGCAAUAAACCAUCUCCGACAUUAACAUCAUUAUAUAGAUCAUCAUACUCAUCAUCUUCUCCCAUCAACUCUUCAUCUGCAAGAGCAGGUAUAGCUCCACCUCCCUGAUACUGCAUCUUUUGAGCCCCUCCAUACUCGUCCUCCUCAUAAUCUAUUUGUUCUUCAGCCAUCGAAUCCAUUUAAGCUGACCAAGUUACAUCAAAAUAAAGAAAUAUUAUCUCUAUUCCUCCCAUGCAGAACUAUGAACAAAGAUAAAAGACCACUCAAAAUUGUUCUGCUUCUCUACAUCAACAGGUUUUAGAGCCAAAGAUCACCAAUAUUAAAGACCAACAUAGCUCAAAUUUAAGCAGAAUGUGAUUCAUAUGUAUAAACACAUAAUCAACACUUAUUAAUACAAAAGAUCCAUCACCCACCAAGGAAUACAUUUAAGAACCAUAAGAAACACGUCACCAUCCAUCCUAUAACAUAAAAAAAAAAAAAAAAAAAAAAAAACACAAAUCUGCAACACCCGCCGGGUAAAAUUACAUGAAUUACACAGAAACCCUACCCACAAGUGCAAAAAUAACAUAAAAAGGACAAAUCUCCAACACCCACUUCAUGAAGUCAAAAGGACACAAAUCCUUAAAAACCUGUCAAAUUACAUCAUCCAGUAAACAAAAAAUUACAUAUACAUUUCACUACAACGAAACUGAAAAACAUCGGAUAAGAAAAAAAAAAUUAACAAAACGCAGAAUCGAAUCGGGUUUUAUUUAGGUACCCUUACUCUUCUCCCCUCUGAAGAUGUAUGUUUUAUUAACCCUUUAGCUUAAAAAACUAACAGCGCUUGAGCAAAUUGUAUUCACCUUUCUCUUGUUCUUUGAUUUCUGUUUGUAACUCUGUUUUCUGCGCUGGUUGUACAGUGAAACCCUUAUGGAUUUGAUUCAGGUUUCGUCUUUCCCAGUCGGGCGAAUGGCCAAAUACGUGAUAUCUUAAGUCUCUAUAGAUUUAAUAUUAGUUAAAUAAAUUUUUAACCAGCCUUCUCGUAAUUUCCAAGAGUUUAUAGUGGAGAGUUUUCACCGAACUAAAUUUCAUGCUAUUUUCAUAUUUUUCAUUUGUGUAAUUAUACAUUUUACUAUCAUAUAAUUUCCUCAAAAUGAAAUAUUUUAUGAAAUAUUAAAAUAAAAAUUUGGAAUACCUAUUAUUAAUAACCAUAGACAUUUUACAUCUUAACAUUUCAACUGAAAUAAUGUGUUGCAUAAAGUUACUAGAUCAUAUAUUUUUAUAUGUAUUAUUAUAUCAUUUACUUCAUUGAUAACACAUCACUUAACAUAAAAUUUUAUUAUACUUAAUACUAUUAAUAUUAUAAAAUUAAAUAUUAUCCCAUUAACUAUUUAUUAUUGUUAUUAUUAUUAUUUUAGAAAUUACAAUUAACUAAGCAUUAGCUUAGUUAAUGGUAAUUAAUAUUUUCAUCCCAUACCUUCCCUACAAUUUAAUUCAAGUGGUUAACUAAAGAAAACAGUGGUUAAGCUCAUAUAAGGAAAAACAAAUUGUCAUGGUUUAUAUGAUUCAAUGUAUUAUUAUUUUAAUUUAAUACUUCUACACAUGGAGAUAACUAAAUUUAAUACUCCUACACGUGGAGAUAACUUUUUUGUAUAUGUCUUAGUAAUGUGAUUGUUUGUAUAUGUCUUAGUAAUGUGAUUGUUACUUAUAUGCAAUAUAAUGUCAUUAGUUAAAAAGUAGGACUAUUUAUACCCUAUAAAAUAUUUUGAACACCCUUUAUUAAAAUUUUAAUAUAAAUUUAUACUUAACACACCCUCUUCACACCGAUGAAAAUAUUUUUCUCACAAAACUAUGUUUCUUUUCCUCAAAAUUGCUAAGUGCGUAAUAGCUUGACAUUAUGCAUACAUAUAAGAGCACACAUACAUAUAAUCAUAUGUUCUUAAAGUUAAUAUUGGCGGGAGGGUAAACUUGAUUUAAAAUUUCAUAAAUGUUAAUGUCCUCAAUCUUAAGCUUUAUGCAUACAAUUAUGAAUAUUUAAUCUCUACUCAUAAAAACUAAAAAGGGAGGAAUAAAGAACAAACAUUUGUAAGUUCUUGACAUUAAUGGUGCGUUUACUUCAUGAGAAUGUGAAUAAUGUGGAAUGGGAAUGGGUUGGAAUGGGAAUGAAAUUUCAAUGACAAAAAUAAAUGGGAAUGGGAAUAUACUGGAAUACCAUUGAUGUGUUUACUUGACAAAAUAAAUGGGAAUGAGGAAUGAGAAUGAGAAUCAAUUUACCAAAAUAUCCAUAGUAUUAAUAAUUAAUAAAAAUAAUUAAUUUAUCAUUAUUAACAAUAUUAUCAUUAUUGUUUUUGUUGUUGUUAUUAUUAUUAUUAUUAUUAUUAUUAAAAAUCAUUAAUAAUAACUAAAAUAAAAAAGUUAAUAAAAUUUAAUAAUAAUAAUAAUAUAAUUAUUAUUAAAUUAUAUUAACUUUAUUAUUUUAGUUAUUAUUAAUUAUUGUUAAUAAUAUUUUUAUUAAUAUUAUCAUUAUUAACAUUUAUUAUUAUUAAAUUUUAUUAACUUUUUUAUUUUAGUUAUUAUUAUUUUUAUUUUUAUUAAUAUUAUCAUUAUUAAAUUUAUUAUUAUUAUUUUUAUUAUUAUUAAAUUUAUUAUUUUAGUUAUUGUUAAUUACUGUUAAUAUUAUUUUUAUUAAUAUUAUCAUUAUUAACAUUUAUUAUUAUUAUUAUUAACUUUAUUAUUUUAGUUACUAUUAAUUAUUGUUAAUAUUAUCAUUAUUAACAUUUAUUAUUAUUAUUAUUAUUAUUAACUUUAUUAUUUUAUUUAUUAUUAAUUAUUGUUAUUACUAUUUUUAUUAAUAUUAUCAUUAUUAACAUUUAUUAUUAUUAUUAUUAUUAUUAUUAUUAUUAUUAUUAACUUUAUUAUUUUAGUUACUAUUAAUUAUUGUUAAUAUUAUCAUCAUUAACAUUUAUUAUUAUUAUUAUUAACUUUAUUUAUUAUUAAUUAUUGUUAUUACUAUUUUUAUUAAUAUUAUCAUUAUUAACAUUUAUCAUUAUUAACAUUUAUUAUUAUUAUUAUUAAAAUUAAAUUUUAUUGAAUUUGUUAUUUUAGUUAUUAUUAUUUUUAAUAAUAAUAAUGAUAAAUGUUAAUAAUGAUAAUAUUAAUAAAAAUAAUAAUAACUAUAAUUAAUAAUAACUAAAAUAAUAAAGUUAAUAAAUUUUAAUAAUAAUAAUAAUAACAACAAUAAGGAUAAUAUUGUUAAUAAUGAUAAAUUAAUUAUUUUUAUUAAUUAUUAUUUUUAUCAUUAUUUUUAUUGUAAAUAAUGAUAAUAUUACUGAUAAUAAUAAUAAUAAUUAAUAAUAACCAAAAUAAUAAAGUUAAUAAAAUUUAAUAAUAAUAAUAAUUAUUAUUAUUAAUGACAUUUAAAAUAAUAUUAUUAUUUGUGAUUUGAAUAAGGGUAAUUUAGGAAAUAUGAAAAAAUUAGAAGGAUAGAAAAAUAAAUUUAUGUUUUAUUAUCAUUCCCAACUCCCCAUGGGAAUGUGAUUCGCAUUCCUUAUUUCAGAUUGUGUGGGACCUACACAUUUUAUUCUCAUUUCCAAAUUACAUUUUGUUAAGUAAACAUAUGUUUCAUUCUCAUUCCUUCAUUCUAAUUCCCCAAACCCAUAAGUAAACACAGCAUAAGAACUUAUUCAGAUGAAUAUUAAUUUUGUCUCACAUUAAUUACAGUCUUUUUUUAUCCGUCUCAUUCCAUAAAACGAAUGGAAAUAUACUACUCCGUUCAAUAAUGCUAUUCCUCACAACUCUACCAACUCCAAUGAAGGAGACAAAGUUAAAUGUGUAAAACGCACUAAAUGCAUGCUUGGAUCAUAAAAGGGAGUUGCUUGAAGCCUUGAACCUGUAAAAUAAGAGUAAUGAUGCAGCAGGAUUUUGUAGCUCUGCUUUUGUAGGAAUCAUGGGACAUGUUGCGAAUAUGAUUGGUGAUGAAUAUUGCAUGGAGAUAAUCACAUAGAUAAAUGUUGUUGAUUCCACAUAGUUUAUCGGUGAUAAUAAAGUUAUAUCAAACUCUAAUAGAAGGGUAUAGUUAAGAAUAAUAUUUUAUUUCAUUGCAUAAGACACUCUUUAGUUAUAAAAUCGAAGUCGAGUGUUCAUAAUAUUUUUUACGAUGUAAAUAGCCCGCCCAUGAUUAAAAAUAUAAAAUUAACAAGGACUUAUAUAAAGAUCUUUAUGUGCAGGUAAAAUAUGAAUAGGACGAGGGAAAGUGAUUAUAAUAAUAUUAUAUCAUAGAAUUUAUAUGUUUACACAUUAAAAAAAAUGGUUGAAUCAUUUAAAUAGAGACUUGGUAACGUAGAAAACUGAAGUAAAAUAACAAGAAUUUUGUUAAAUCAAAGACGAUUUGGUUGGAAUUUGGCAAAGAAAUGGAACCCUAAUUUUUACUAAAAUUAGGCAAAAGAAAGCUUCUUCCCAAUUUGUUAAGUAAAUUCCUAUUUACCAGCUCAGAAUGGCUAUCCUGAGUUUGUGGAAAUAAAGCAACGGGUGUCACCACAAGAUAUGAUGAAUUCCCCUAAUCAAGGACAAACCCAUCACCAUAAAUAAACCCGACAAUCUCUUCCUCAAAUCAUCCCCAGCAUUUGAACGAUCUGCAUUGUUCUCUAUAUUCAGUAGAGAACCUUGCAUAUAAGGGGACAAAAAAUUAAAAAUAAUAAGACGAAAAACACAAACCCCAUCGUACAUGAUGGCUCGCCAGGUCAUUGUUCUUGCUCUCAUUUUUGUAGCCAUUAUCAGUGUGGCCUCAGCCCAGCAGGAACCCAUUAUUCAGCCACAACCCAAUGAACCCCAGCAGCCUAAUCAGCCGCAGGAACCCAAUCAGCCUAACCAACCCCAGGAACCCAAUCAGCCUCAGGAACCCAAGCAGCCUGAUCAGCCACAGACACAGCCACCUACCCAGCAACCACAGCAGCCCCAGCAGCCAAAUCAGGCACCCGGUGAGGCACCAACACAGGCACCUCCAGCCGGUGGUGCACCCGCACCGGCACCCGGAGAAGCCCCAGCAGGAGGCCCAAGCAGUGGACCAGCUGCUGGACCUGGACCUGCAGAAGGCCCCUCUGGCGAGGCUAAGUUGCCUGAGGUUGCAAUGCCAGGACCAGUGGGCGAGGGAGAUGAGAACAAGUCGGAAGGGAGUGGUGCAAGCUCCCUCAAAGUCUCCGCCCUCGUCGCUGGUGUUGCAGUCGCUGCUGCUUUCUUCUACUAAUCAUGAGCAAAUUAGCUACGUCUACAAAACCACGUACCCGAUUGACUAACAUUCGUCGGUUGUCUACCGCAAAGCUCAUUUGAUAUAUGGAUUUGUUUGUCAUUAAAAUUCGAGGUUUUACGUAUCAUGAUGAGUUUUAAAAUAUUGUGGAUUGGAGAUAUUUGGAUCUAUCAUUGGAUAAUUUCUAAGUUUAACCAAUUUUUAUCAUCAUAUGUGCCUGUGGGUGCCUCUUCCGAGUUGAGGCUCGUAUAUAAAAAUAUUAUCCAUUGUUUACGUCCUGCAGGCUGCAUGGCGACUGAUCGAUGCAUGUCUUUAUCUUUGGUCAAUUGCCUUUUGUUCUUUAUGGAAUAGGGUGGUGCUUAAUCCUGAAGAAAUGAAAUUGCUCGCAUUCAAUCACAAUAUUGUCACGAUUUGCUUUAAUUUAAAGAUUUUAUUAAUCCCGCCUAUUUAAAUAAAUAAUAUCCUGGCUUUAAUUUAUUGAGAUGAAAUUAAAACGAGACUUUGGAAUCCCUGAUCAGACGACGAGCGCUUGUUGCAGCAAGCAAUAAUAAAAGGUGGCGAACCAAGUGAAUGAAAUAUAUAUCCGGAUCCCCUGAGUUACAGUUAACGCAACUUACAGGAGCUGCUUUAGUCUUCUCUGAAUUGUCGCCGUAAAAUAUCGUGGAGCCCCUGUACUUUAUAUUAUUGAAAAUUUAUAAAUAUAAGUAGGGUUAUUUUUAAAGACCUCCCCUGAGGUUUAGUGUACUUACAGUCGGAUAGAAAGUAUGCAUGUAAUUAUAGGAACCUCCCCUAACGUUAGUAUUCAAAUACGUAUGGCAUCAGUAUGUAAGGGUAAAUGUGUAAACAUAUAUUUAAAAUUAAAAAAAAAAAUCAAAAGUGAGAUGAUUUUGUUGAUUCGGCUCUUUCACAGCCCUUCAAAGGAGCCAACAUCAUCGGGACCCUCACAGCUCUCAACGCCGAAGUCCGCUGGUGGUCCUGCAAUAUCUUCUCAACCCAAGACCACGUGGCCGCCGCCAUCGCACGUAACUCAGCCUCCGUCUUCGCUUGGAAGGGCGAGACCCUCUAGGAGUGCUGGUGGUGCACAGAGAAAGCUCUGGAUUAGGGUCGCGGCGGCCCAGAUCUCAUCAUUGACGACGGUGGUACGCCACGUUGUUGAUCCACGAGAGGGUCAAAGCUAAGGAGAUCUACGAGAAGACCCGGAAGCUACUCGACCCGGCCUCCACCGACAACGCCGAGUUUCAGAUUGGUUGUACCAGAUGCAAGAAAAUGGAACCCUCUCGUUCCCUACCAUCAAUGUCAAUGACUCUGUCACCAAUAGUAAGGUAAUUUACUUUGAUUUGCUUCAGAUCUCAAAUUUAUUUUAUACUAUCAAUUCAUUAAAUGUUUGAAAUAUUGGAAGAAAUUAAAUACUAAUGUUUGAUAAUGCAAUGGGGGAAACAAUUUGAUGACUUGUAUGGAUGCCGCCACUCGCUCCCAGAUGGUUUGAUGAGAGGUUUUGAUGUUAUGAUUGCCGGAAAGGUUGCUGUUGUUUGCGGUUAUGGUGAUGUUAGCAAUGGUUGUGCUGCUACUUUGAAGCAAGCCGGUGCAUGUGUAAUUGUAACUGAGAUUGAUCUGUACUAGGAAGUUAGGUUUAAAUUUCGUAGGAGUGUGUGUUUGGGUGGUGGGAAAGUUGAAGGAAAGAAAUAGAUUGGUUUCAGUUGAUUGAAGACCAUUUGGGAUUUGAAUAAGGUUAUGGAUGGAGCUGUGUGGAUCAUUUUGUAUUUGAUGCAGUUUUAAAGUUUUGCUUGCUUUGCUGCAUCUUGUUAUCCUAUUAUUUACUUAUGAAUGAUUAAAAAAAUUUUGUUUGGAGGUCAAGAAAAAACGAGAGAAAAUUUCAAUGAAAACGGAGAAUCAGUCUAAAAAAUAACUUAUCAUUUUGAGGAGAAGGGUACUUUUGUAAUUUUAACGGUCUACUAACAGUCAAACUAACUGGAUACUAACGUCAGGGGAGGUGCUUGUAAUUACGUGGAUACUUUCUAUCUAACUGUAAAUACACUAAACCUCAGGGGAGGUCCCUAAAAAUAACCCAAUAUAAGUAUUACGAAACUUUCUGUAUUGUAAAAUUUUGUUCAGACUCUUGCACUCUAUUUUAUUUCAUUGAAACCUUCAGAGUAUCAAAUUCAUCCCCUAUAAUUUUUAAAUUCUCAAAAUACCCUUCAUUUAAGUAAAAUAUCAUUAUUAUUAAAUGGAUUAUAGUUAUAAUUACAAUUAAAAUAAUUAUUUUAUUAUAAUUAUAAUUAUAAUUUUUAAAUGGAUUAUUAUAAUUAUUAUUAAUAACAAUAAUAAAAAGUUAUAAUUAAUUAAUCUAUUAACAAUAAUUAAUAAUAAUUUUUAUUUAAAUUGUUAAUAAUAAUAAUUAACAAUAAUUGUUAUGAAUAAUUAAUUUUUGAAUAAUAAUAAUCACAAUAAUUAAAAUAUAAAAUAAUAAUUAUGAUAAAAAUUAAUUAAGGAUUUUAUAAUAACCUUCAAGGAUAUUAAUCAUCGACAAAAUUUUUAAGGAUAUUAUCAUUCAUCUUCUUUAUAAUAUCAUCUCAUAAUAAUUAAUAUUUUCAUGAUAAAAGGAUUAACAAAAUAAAAAGUAAAUUUCCUUUGAAUUCAUCCAUUUCCACUAUUAACUUCUUUUCAUAAGCAACCUUCAUUGAUAAUUGAAGCCAUCAUUAGACUCAUCAUAGAGAAAGAGAGUGAGAGUGCGGAAGAAGAAAUGGGGAAAAAAAUGAAAUGUUUACAAUUUUAUAGUGUAUUCACUAAACAAUAAUCAAAAUUAGCUGGAAACAUAAUGAGUUAGAAUCGAAAUGAGAAAUUGGAAUCAGAAUAAUUUAUUUACUUGAAUUGCAAGAAUCGUAAUUACAAUGAGCUAUAUUACUAUUUAUAUGUUUUACUUUGUUUUAGAAUCAAAAUCGGAAUGAGUUAAAUUGUAACAAAUUAAUAUAAACAAAUCCUUAAUUAAUUUUUAUUGUAAUUAUUAUUUUGUAUUUUAAUUAUUGUGAUUAUUAUUAUUAUUCAAAAAUUAAUUAAUAAUAAUAAUUAUUGUUAAUUAUUAUUAUUAUUAACAAUUUAACUAGAAAAUUAUUAUUAAUUAUUGUUAAUAGAUUAAUUAAUUAAUUAUAAUACUUUAUUAUUAUUGUUAUUAGGGAUAUUAUCAUUUUCCCACCUAAGGUAUUCUGACACAUCAUGUCAGUACCACGGUUUGGUAAAACUAUCAAUUUACCACCAAACGUUUAAACUGUUAGCAUUUUCCCACCAUUCCGUUAAAACUCAUUUAAUAUGUAACGGAAAAUUUCUAAAAGGUCAAUUUUACCCCUGGAGUAUAAAAAACCAUGUAAUUAACCUUUUAUGAAUUUUGUAAUUAAAUCAUCAUUUGUUGUUCUUCAUUCUUAAAGGACAAAAAUUACCAUUUAUGAAUUUUGUAAAAUUGACCAUGUGGUAUUAGGUACUUCAUAAAUUGAUUUAAUUGAUUUAAUUUUUAAAGGGCAAAUUUAUUUAUUUAAUUUUUUGUGUAAAAUUAUUAUCAUCAUAUCAAAGAUUAAAUUGCUUCUUUUGCACAUUCUUUUUUUUUUCCCUUUCAUAAAUUGAUGUUUAGUAGUAGAAUAAAUUGUCUUUAGCUCGACAAUUUAAUAAAUAAAUUUGACCUUUAAAAAUUAAAUAAAUUAAAUCAAUUUAUAAAAGUACCUAGCACCACAUGGUCAAUUUUAUAAAAUUUAUAAGGGGUAAUUUUUGUCCUUUAAAAAGGAAGAACAACAAAUGAUAAUUUAAUUACAAAAUUCAUAAAAGGUUAAUUACAUGGUCUUUUACACUUCAGGGGUAAAAUUGACCUUUUAUGAAUUUUCUGUUACAUAUUAACGGAGUUUUAACGGAAUGGUGGGAAAAUGCUAACAGUUUAAACGUUUGGUGGUAAAUUGAUAGUUUUACCAAACCGUGGUACUGACAUGAUGUGUCAGAAUACCUUUGGUGGGAAAAUGAUAAUAUCCAUUGUUAUUAAUAAUUAUUAUAAUAAUCCAAUUAAAAAUUAUAAUUAUAUUUAUAAUUACAGUUAGGGGUGGGCGUUUGGAUCGGGUUAACCUGAACCGAACGAAACCCGAAAUUUUAUUUUGGUCUCGGUUUGGUUUGUGUUAACUAUAAAAAUCCAAAUGGAUUCAAAUUUCCAACCGGUUCGGCUUGGAUUUCGGUUCGGGUUGAACCCGAAUCGAAAUCGAGACCAGAUCGGGUUAAUUGAAAAAAAUAAAUAAAUAAAACUUAGAACACCAAAAAAUCAAAACCCUUAUUUCCUCUUUUCUCUUCUUUGCACUCCACAUCGAGACAAGCACAACCUCAACCCCAGCACACUCACAAUCUCACUCACAAACACCACCGGUGUCAAUUCAACUCAGUUAAGGUGCAUCAGCGUUGCAAUUUUAGAUUCAGAUGCUGCCUCCUUCUUCGUUUCAGAUCUAGUAUUCUUGGGCCCUUCGCUUUAGAUCUAGUCGUUGCCUCCUUCUUCGUUCGUAGUCGUCAGGAGCACAAGGUGAUGUUAAUGUCGAUGAUGUUUACGAUUCCGAUGAUGUUAUUUUUAGUGAUGUUUGCAUUUCGCUGCCUCCUUCUUCGUUAUUGUUAAUUGAAUGUAUAUUUUUGGAAGGAUUUGGUUUUCGGGACUUGGCAAACAAAUCCAAUCUCAGGUUCUAUUCCUCUGUUGAUACCCGUUUGCACUUAUCCAUUAGAAUUUUAUUAUGACGUUGCAACUCUCUGCGUAGCAACUGUAGUUUGUCUUUAACAGGAAUGGCUGCAUCUAUUUCAGCAAGAACUUGUAGGGUUGGCAAAAACCCGGGUCCGGUCCAGGUUUGGCCAUGCCCGGGACUGGACCGGAUCAAUAAAACAGCUGCCCGAACCGGGAUUGUGCCCGAUUUUUUCACAUCCAAUCCAGGUCAGGCCCGACACCUCCCGAGCACGGGUUUUUUAUCCGGGCUUUCUCUGCCCAGAUAAAUUACUGGUUUGCUGUAGUUAUUAAAGAUUCCAAUGAAAUCAACCUUGCAAAUCAUUCCAUUUACGGCAAAUCAAUUCCAAAACCAGCCAAUCUUAAAAUGCAAAAGUUUGAUAUCCAUGGAGCAAUGUUUGUGGUUCUUUGCCAAAAGAAUAGCCUGAAAAACGUGAGUCGAUGAUCUGCACUGCGUGGGUUCGAGUGGCUGGGUUCGCGUCGCGUGGGUUCGAGUGGCUGGUGCUAGGUUUACUGCUGGCUACUGCUGAGGUGGCUUCAUGCAUCGUGGCGGUGUGCUGGCCGGGUUUGUUGGAGGCUGCUGCUGCGGUGAUUUCACGUGGCUGCUGGGUUCGUAAAUCGCUACUUUACUGUUGGUGGUUGUGCUCGUGGCUGCUGGAUUCGGCGAUGAUUGGUCGUGGGUGCUAUUGUCGUGCUGGUUUUGAUCGGUUAGGUGAUGGCUGCUUGAGAGAUGUGUAAGAAGUGCAUACUGCACAGCAUUUAAUUUUAGAUAUUUUUUUAAAGGAGAAAUGCAAAUUAUGAAGAAAUUUGUGCUAUUAGAAUGAAAAAAAAAAUGAACUAAUUUGCAGAUUUUUUAUUUGAAAAGGAUUCAUGCUAGAGAAAGCCAAAAGUAAAGAAAAAGAAAAGAAGAAAAAAAAAAGAACCAUAGUCAUAUAACAGCAUGUGAGGGCUAUCAAAUGGUGCUUAAAGCACUCAAGAGUCAAGAUCUAAGCCAAGUGGUGGUCAAAGCACUCAAGAGCCAAGAGCUUGAGUGCUUUUGCUUUUUGCAAUCAGAUGAUGAUUUUGCAGGAUGUAUAAGACGUUUUUGCAAUCAGUGCUAGCUUGGAGUGUUUGCUGGGGGGGUGUUUGCUUUUUGCAGUUGGCAGCUUGUGUUUCCUUGGAAUGUUGAGUGGUGGCCGCUAGCUUGGAGUGUUGGAGAGCUGGAUGUGCGGCAGCCGGCAGUAGUGCUUGUGUUUGCAUACGAAUAAGAUAGAAAAUUACGGUAAGUUUCAAUUUUGGGUGUAUUACAUUUAUAUAUAUAUAUUUUAACUUAUCAAAACCCGGGCACGGAUCCGGGUUCCGAGUUUUUGGUGCCACAACCGGAACCGGACCUGGAAGUAUCCGGGUUUUAAACUUCAAUAACUGGACCCGUAUUAUUUGUAUAUGCGGUCCGGGUUUUGCCCGGACCUGAUUGGCCGGUUCCGGGCGGGUUUUAUUGCCACCCCUAAGAACUUGCCGAUAUACAUUCUAGAUUAUGCAUAUUUGCUUAACAUCAAUUACGAUUGGCCUUGAUAUGUGCUCCAAACUCUUGCAUAUAUAGAAUUGAACUUUAUUUUUAUUCUGAUUUAAGAUUUAAGAUUUGAGAAUUUAAAAUUUUAGUUGGUUAAUGACGAAUGUUUGGACAAUCAAACUAUUAUAACCCGAUUUCAACCCAAACCCAAAUUUCGAUCUGAAUUACUAACCCAAACCGAACCGAAAUAAUUUCGAUUCGGUUUAGUUUAGGUUUGUCUUUUGAACCCGAUUGGGUUGAAACCCAAACCGAAAUCCAAACAACCGAACUGAAACCUAAUUUGCCCACCCUUAAUUACAGUAAAAUAAUUAUUAUAAUUAUAAUUAUAAUCCAUUUAAUAAUUAUUAUAUUUUAUUUACAUGGAGGGUAUUUUGGGAAUUUAAAAAUUAUAGGGGAUGAAUAAUGAAUUUCAUACUCUAAGGGUUUCAAUGAAAUAAUAUAGAGUGUAAGACGCUGAACGAAAUUUUACAAUACAAAAAGUUUCACAAUACUUAUUAAUAAAUUGUGAAUAAUAUAAAGUGCAAGGGGCUCAGAGAUAUUUUACAGUAACAUUUCAGCAAACAGAGAAACAGCGGCAAGUUACGUUAACUGUAACAUGGGGAAUCCGAUCCGGAUCCAUAUAGGGGGAUCCUAUAAGGAUAUAUUGACAACCUAAGUUCGUAUCCGAGGAUAAGUACAGAUCCUUGAGGGCAAUAACAGACGGCAAUUAAACUUUGCGUUUCCUUCAAAUAUUCGAUAUUCCUCCAUACAUCCGGUGUCUUAUAAACGGGACGAAUUUCGUCGCCGUAGCCGGUAAGUGCUAAAAGUUAAAAGGUUUUCAGAAUUAUAUACCGCUGCCUUCUCCAACUUGCUGAGCUUUCAGCUUUGCACUCUUGAAUUCUGAAUACGACAUUAAUUUUUGUAAUUAGACAGACAUUAACAUUUAACCGGCCCGGCCGGGAACUUCAAGUUGUUAAAUAUGACAUGAACAUUCAGUAUCGGGAACCACGUUGUGUAUAAAGUAAAGAAAAUGCACAAGAAAAUCUUUCAACAUCAUCAAAUCGAGGGCCAGUGCACAACGCUGGCAUUUGCAUUGAGCUUUCUGAAACUGAAACUGAAACUGAAACAGUAACAGCACAGAUUGGCUGAUAAAAUACAUAACUAUAAAUUAUGGAGAUAAAAUUUUUGGAAUUAAAAAAGAUUCCUGAAGUGGCAGAUUAAACUGGAGGAUUGGUCAUCAGAUAGAUGGAACAGACGCGUACACUACACAGGCAGUUGGAAAUAUUUAUACAUGGAACUAACAAGAAUCAGUCAUACCCAACUCCUAAAUUACAUGACAAAACUAAAGAUUCACAAAGCAGAACUGGAUGAAGCGAGUGAUCUUGUAAAAGAAUACAAAAGCCAAGAAUAAUGCACGAGAGAGCAUGCCAUGCUAAGUAAAAAUUGCAGCUGCCAGUGUGGGGAAAGGCAGCUUUCCACAUUAAGCAAGUAGAAACCCUCGGAACAACAUAGUCAGGUGGGUAUCUGAGAUUAUGCCUCCUUAAAACUCAUAAUCUCAUUCCUCAGACAGGAAACCUAAUGUACAUUUGAGCAGAACAUUUCAAACCCUCUCCAUAAACCACAAAACUUUCAUCCCUAAUCACUUUUCUGGUAUACAAAAACAGAGACAAUGAUCAAUCUAUCAAUAAAAAUCCAUCGAAAGAAACGGUACAAAUGAAAAUCAAAUCUGAUUACAACAAAUUCAUACUGCAUGACAGAGGAAAUGUACAUGGAAUGUGGCAUCAUGCCUUCACCUGCAACAUUCUCAAAACAACCAAAACUCUCAGUUCCAGCCCAAUAGAAUGAUGCAGAAGUCCACAAUUUACGACUCCCAUGUGCAGGUAAACCUCACAACUUACAUAGACAAUAAUAAUAAUAAAGGUUAAAAAAAAAGGCACACUUCCAAUGUUCCUUUAUCUUUUAUGUAGAAAAUACAACUAGUUCUACACAUGUUACAAUAAUCAAUUACAAGUGAAACAAUUCCAGGUUACAAAUUACUAAAAGCUCAUCACUGACUAUCCUAAAUCAGUUACACUGCAUCAAAUGUAAACACAAUUGUGCCUCAAAGUCAGUACAACAGUCUUACAAGCUCACAGCGAGCCACAAAUAGUCAAAUAAAUAAUGAAAGAGGCCUUUACAUGUGAUGGACCUAAUACAUGUAACUCAAUUUUACAGAAACAUGAGAUGAUGCUUUACAAAAUGGUAUAUAAACCUAUUAAACAAAAUCCUUUCCAUUUUUUGACAAUUUCAUGGCUUCAACUAUUUCUAGGCAUUCUCUUCCAGGAGAGCAGUUCACACAUUCUUAAGGGCCGCUCGAGGGGGCAAAAAAGUGAAAGCCAAAAUUGUCAAGGCUUGUUUGCACACUUGACAGACCAAAGCCAAUAUUUGAGAAAGCGAAUGAAUGCAGCCCAUCAAACACAUCUUCCUUGGUUGCUACUCCACUCCCUGAAUAUGGUGAUAAAAAGAAAGCCCCCAUGUCAAUAGACUUGGAAAAAGAAAACCUACCAGCCAAAGAGGCCACUAAACUUUCCUCAAAGAGCACUACAUGAUUUUAGUACCAUAUUCCUACAAUCAAUGAAUCAAUCACAAUCACCCAUGACUGGGGACCUCAUGUAAGUCCUACAUGAUAAACAGCCCAGAUUUCACAACAGGGAAGUAAAGCCCUUAACUGGAAGGUGUUUUGCUCUCUUUGAUCAGAUAACAUAUCAAACUCAAGUACGUCCAAAUCCACCCAUUCAUAACAAAAGUCUAAGGGAAUCACACUUCUACAAAACACAAAUACAUUAUUUGCCAUGUGACUUUACUAAAACUACCGUACCCGGCUGAAACUCACAACACCAGAUAUGACAACUUUUCAUUCUAGGAUAAACCAUAAUAAAAUAAUAUCAUACACUAGAAAUUAGGGAAAACAUUCUAUUAUACUAGUUACCACCAAAAUAACGGAACUUCUAAAAUAUAUAAUGAUUUGGAAGAUAGUUCUUUUAUGGCUAAAAUAGUGUUUUGGAAGAAGAAACAAAAGUUCAAAUAGCUGUUUUAAUAUUUAAAAGUAUAUUGAUCUUCAAGAGAACUAAUCAAAUUAAAAUAACUAAUUGAAACUUCAAAGAACAAUCACAAACGAUUAGUAGAAAGAAAAAGAAAGAGGGAAGCAAGAAAAGAAAGCAGCCAACCAUGCCUUCAAGAAAAGCUUCUCUCUCUCUCUCUCUCAUUUUUCUUUGUGAUUUUUUUUCUUCUUUUCGAGUAAAACCAAAAAGAUUGUAUCCGAAGGACAAGAAAAAGAUAUAAAAAAAUUCAAAAAGGUGAACAAGCAAUCCACUGAACCAGCAAACGAAUCAAACAAAACAACCAAACAAAAACAGAAGCACCAAAAAUCAAACACUACUCACGACUUCAAGAAAAGCUUUCAGAAACAGAUUCUUAGUUGACAUUCACUAAGAUACGAAAGAGAAGAUUGGAAGCCAUUUACUAGACCAACAACUCCAAAAAUUGGCCAUCAUAUCCACUUAUCCUUACCCCCAAUUCCAAGCGAAAAAACCUAAAAGAAUUUAACAUUCCAAGUAAUCCACCAGUCCAUAAGCAUAAGCAGCACCACACAUACAUUGUGGAUAUAAUUCAAAAUGGGAGGAUGAAUAACAUAGACUUUAAUAAAUAGUUACGAUGCCCUAGCAAUAUUUGAAACAUUGCUAGUAUGACUUGCUGAUCAAAUAAAACUCACUUGAAAAGAAAAUAAUAAAGGCAUGCUACAUAUCAGCUGUUGCUUCUUCUGAGGAAGGUCAAUUUGAUGGGAAGAUACAAAGACCACAUAUUAAACAUUGUCAAGUCCGAGAGAAACCCCUGAAGUAGGACUUCAUUUUCUAAGACAAGACUAAGAAUCCUUAAUUAGUUGACCAUCACCACUUUGGCCAGCACUUUACCCCUUAUGGGCCGACCCGGUGCGAGCGGGGAUUAGUCUGGGUUGUGGUACGGGCUUAAAGGUGCCUCCCACAGUUGGGGCCCACUCAGGACCACCUCGUGGUUCAGACAAAAAAAAAAAAACUAUUCUAAUAAAAGACAGAUGAAUUCUAAUUCCAAAUUCAAAUCUAAAUGUCAUUUGAAGUGAUACAAAGGACCCAGAAGGCAGAAGGACACAGCUAUCACAUGCAUCAGUUUAAAUAUUAAAGUCAUGCACUGACUCAGACUUACGAGCACCCUUUAAAUACAAUCCCAAUAAAAAUAAUGGGUUGGCAUGGAAAAAAAACCAUAUUCUAUAAUCAACUAUAAAAAAACCAUAUUCUAUAAUCAACAACUACGAGAAGACACAGGUGUAGAAAGCAAUAUGGACAACUAAUUCAAACUAUGAUAUAAUUAGAGUAGGCUUUGUAACAUGUGACCAGAAGCCCCAAAACCAUUGUCUCAGAAAUAGAUUCAGUAGAAUAAAUAUAAAGCCAUUGGGAUACUCGGCAAGGAUAUCAAGAGUCCAACCCUAGAUAGAAUAUCCCCAUUGGCAUGCAACUCAAAGUCACUCAUCAUUUUUUAACAAACAAAUAAGUGUUGGCAGUAACGUUUAUAGAAUGCAGUACGAAAGAACAGAGAAUCUAUGCUUCCCUUCUACAAAUAUGAGAACUUACUUUUCCCUCAAGAAACCACUCUGCAUUUAGGCCACAGUAACCAGGAAAAGCGAUAGGUAGAAGCAUUGUAACAACCCAAGAGCAAUACAGUAAGAUAUAGAGAAUAUGAGGUCUUGUAUGACAUGCCACGGAAGAAUGAAAAGCGUGACUCUGUCACUCUGAUGGUAGCCGUCUCCUCUUCCCAUAGUCCACAUCUCUCGAUCGAGAUCUGUGGUCUUCAUCUGGGAUUACUCCGGACCUGCUCCGAGAUCUUGAAGACGAUUGCCCCUUGUCCCAGUUGUCAUCAUAAGUUGAGUCACGAUCUCUUUGUCGACGAUCACGAUAACUAUCUUUUUCUUCCCUGUGUCUGUGAUCUCUGUGAUCCCUUUCAGAUCUGUCCCAGUCUUGUUCCCUCUCCUCUCGGUGCCUCCUAUCUGUGUUCCCAGACCAGUCACGCUCAGAACCACGAUCCUUUUCCCGGGAGGCAGCAGUUGACCUUGCUCCUUUUUCAUGACUUGCCUCCCCAUACCCAUAAUCAGAAGCACCAUCAUCACCACCAUAACUUGACUCCCUUGUCCUUCGUCCAUAUUCCUCUCCUACCCAUCCACCCAUGCUUGAGUCAGUCCACAUCCCUGGAUGCGGUCCAUCCAUUCCAGAAGAACCCAUCAUACCCAUCCCAUUAGCUGCCAUUCCUCGGUUAAAGAAUGCUGGGUUGACAUGAGGAGCCACCCCAGCAAGGCCCAUUGCAUUAACAGCAGGAAAUGAAGGAAGCAUACCAGGAAAACCUGGACCCGAAAAACCUCCAUAACCACCUCCUCGACCCAUGUAUGUUGGAUCAAACCCUCCCAUCAUAUUCUGUGGAUGCAUCAUACCACCUGCAGGACCCCCAAAGCCAGGACCUGCAAGGCCUUGUCCAUAACCUCCACCAGCAGCAGGUCCAGCACCGCUUCCAGCUCCAGAACUACUCCCAAUCAUGUUCCUUGCACCCAUGGGCCCUCUUCCCCUCAUCGCUCCACCACCAGGACCUCUGUUGGGUACACCCUGCCCACCUCGUCCCCAGCCGCCCCUUCCAAAAUUCCUACCUCCAUCACCACUCUGAUAAUUCGUGUUACCACCUCUCCCACCACCGUCGUUCAUAGGUCUGCUUCCCUGAUUCUGUGACUGAGGCUGGCCUUGGUUUUUGUUCAUGUAAGAAGCUCCCAUCUGUUUCAAUGUUUGAGGAGAAGCAAAAGCCACAACACAUGGUCGUCCAUUGAAAACAUGACCAUUCAUUCCAUCUUUGCACGCAGCUGCAGCAGCUGCAUCAAAGAAUUCGACUUGGCAAUAACCUUUGGAUUUACCACUAGCUCUCUCAUCAAAAAACUUAAUCUCCUUGGCCCUUCCAUACUGAGACAAAACACUUUCAAGCUCCGCAUCAGUUGUCCACCAAUGUAAUUCUCCCACAAACAGCAUUGUCCCACCAUUCUCUAGAGGAGGCCGGAUUUGAUUCUCAUUCACCAUUACACGAUUGACAUUUGCAUUUACACCCAUUUGAUUAGCUGGAAUCAGAGCACCUUGAGGACCAGCAGCACCGGGAUUUAGCACAGGUGCAGGCUCAUUGGCUGCUCUUCCCGGCAGAUUAGAAGGAUCAACUCCAGUUCUUGGGGGACCUGACGUAGACCCUUGAAAACCCAUAUUUCUAACAUGGGCAUCAUGAGUUGUCUCUUGGACACUCCCUUUCUGUGAAACAGAAGCUCCAUCUGGGUAAUUACCAGAUCCCAUGUUUGGUCUGUUGACAGCAACCUGCACAUCAUUUUGAGCAGGAAAGUGGGACCCAGCAUUGGUGUACUUUCCUUCAACAGAAACCCCAGGGAUGUUUGACCCUUGUGAACCCCCAACUUGAACUCGUUGCUCGGGAACAUCAGUUUUCUUAACUUGAAGUCUUCCAUUGCCCACACCAGCGGAUGGGGGAGGUGCCUCAGGCUGCUGAAACUGCAAUAAACCAUCUCCGACAUUAACAUCAUUAUAUAGAUCAUCAUACUCAUCAUCUUCUCCCAUCAACUCUUCAUCUGCAAGAGCAGGUAUAGCUCCACCUCCCUGAUACUGCAUCUUUUGAGCCCC